CAGUCGCCGCGGUAAUACGUAGGGUGCAAGCGUUAAUCGGAAUUACUGGGCGUAAAGCGUGCGCAGGCGGUUAUAUAAGUCAGAUGUGAAAUCCCCGGGCUCAACCUGGGAACUGCAUUUGAGACUGUAUGGCUAGAGUGUGUCAGAGGGGGGUAGAAUUCCACGUGUAGCAGUGAAAUGCGUAGAUAUGUGGAGGAAUACCGAUGGCGAAGGCAGCCCCCUGGACCUGUACUGACGCUCAUGCACGAAAGCGUGGGGAGCAAACAGGAUUAGAUACCCCAGUAGUCCCUGUCUCUUAUAA
rnacentral:rRNA from 1 species